UACACAUAGACACAGUCCCAAAUGUUCAAUUAUUACAAACAUGAUUCAUCCUAACACUACAACAUAAUAACCACUAUGUUGCUACACCUAUAUUCAAACCAACAAGGGAAAUGGGAAAAGAAAAAUAAACAAAAAAAGUGUAAAUGACAACAAGAUCUUCACAUUUGAUAGUAUAUUUCACUUUGAACUUCACAUAUACAUGAGCUUUAGAUGGUACCUGUAAUGCAUCAGAGGAAAUAGCCUAUGAGUAAAUAGAAGGGACCAGCUAAAUAACCAAUAGCCAAUAAAACAGUAUAUCCAGAUUUCAGCAGAGUUUUGGAGAGUUAAAUCUUCAGAAAAUGAUUCAAAACAAUCCUAAUGGUAUUUUCAGAUCUAGAAUUAGUAUUUCAGCUUUAAAAUUGUAGAGAAAAGUUCCAGAUCAGUAUUUUCAUCUCUAUUGUUAAAGAUAAAGGUUUUGGGAUCCCCUCUAAUACCCCAUAUGGUUCAAUUUAUAGCAAAACUGUUAGGGCAUCAGAUUUUUACUAGUUUCUUUCAGUCCUUAUCUCAAAUUGUAUUUUUUGCCUAAGUAGUCCUUCAAUUCUUAACUUGUGCUUCAAAUUUGAGGCUUGAAUUAUGUAUUACUCCCUAAUGGAAAGUUCUACAGGAUUCUUAUCAGAUUUUUAUAAUUUUGAAUCCCUUUUAUACCCUUAGUAACAUUCCUAAAUUACCCUACCCCUGAACCUGUCCCCAGUCAGCUCCAUUAACCCUAGUUCAUCCCUAACUAAAGUUGGUCAGCUAAAUUCAGAUCACCUUUUAAACUAAACAACUUGUGAUUAUCAAAACUUGCCAAAAUUGACAAGCUAAUUAUAACAGGCAUUCAGUGACACAAUCCAUCAAACCAAUCAAGAAAUCAGUAUAAUUCAUCAAAUUAUAAGAAUCAUAUCACUUAAAAGCUAAUUGUAACAGGAUGCUGAAUUAACGACAAACAAACAAGCCUGUGAACAUUAAACCCUAAUCUUAGGAGAACUUUUGUGGACAACCAUACAAACAACAAAAUUAAAAGAAAUGCAGACUAUAAAACAUGUACUAGCCUAAUCAAUUAUUCCAGGCUUAGUGACAAAUAAAAAAACAUGAAUAUUGAACCCUAAUUUCCAGAAGAAUUACUAGAAUCGAAUAAAGGAGUUCAGACUUUAAUUGAACCCAAUCAGUUAUAAAAAAACUAAAGAAAAAUGAAAAAUUCAGAUGCUAGUGACAAACAAACAAGCAUGAAUAUUUCACCCUAAUUAGUUAUCAAAAGCUAACGAAAAAAAUGAAAGAUAGCAGAAAUCUUAGCUCUCUUUUUUGUUCUUGUUUAAAUCAAGUCAACCGGAUCUUGGCCCCUUUCAUAUGGUUCUGAACUCUCUAAGAUGGUGUAUCAUCGAUUUAAAGGACUCAGGGGAGUCUCCAGGAUUUUGAGACCUUAAAUAGGUCUCAGAUUUGGAUUUGUUAAUGGUUGAGGGUGUUUGGGGGUCAAGGGUGGCAUGGUUAGAGUCACUAGGGUUUAGGGAUUGCCUGGGAACAUUUUGUGGCCUUUUUGGCAUGUUUGGGGACUUAGGGUUGGGUUUCAGACUAAGAUUCGAAGAGUCUCAGGAAGAUUUGAGAAUGGUGGUGUGCAUGGUUGGAACGGGGAGGUCGAGGUGUCUUAGUGGUGUAUUUUUGGGACGCUUUGGGAUAGGGGUCAUCGGAGGUGGGGUUUCCGCCCACCUUAAAAGAGGUAUUCGAGAUGAAGGGGUGGUAUUCGAAGAUAACUUAUUAUGGGACGGGGUAGAGGAAGCCAUGGUGGUUAAAUGGUGUAAUUUUGGGGCUGUUUGGUUGCCGGUUGCCGCCGUGAGGCAAUUUCUGACGGCGGUAGUAGGGUGGUCAAGUGGUGGUCAUCGGUGGCGUUGUGGGUAGUCUAUGGGUGUUGACGGGGUUGUCAAUGAUCGGCGGUGGAGAUACGAGGAAUGUGAUUUUGGUCGUGUGUAUACUGAAACGGUUUGGACAUAUAUGUAUGGAUUGAAGUGGGGGUUUGGUAGCCGUUGGAUUGUGUGGGGAUCGACGCCUAUGAUGGAAAGGGCUCUAAAUGACGUCGUUUGGAUUGAUGUGGGUGUGGACUGACUGGCUGAUCGUUUGGGCUUGUUUGUAUGGGUUCAGAGACGGAACAAAUAUGGCCACUCAGGUCUGGCCCAAUUGUGGCCAGCCUGAGUGGUCUCCUAUAUAUGUAUACAUGUAUUGUAUUUUUUUAUUAUUAAUUUUUGUCUUUUCUUUUAACUAAAAGUAAUUAAUAAAUUAAUUUAAAAACCACAAAUCGCAAAUAAAAUUAAAACCAAUCAAAAAUGAAUAAACACAAAUUCAAGUGCUGGCACAAUAUAUAUUUUAUAUUUUAAUUUAGGAAACAAGUUUAUUUAACAAUUAAAACCAUAAUUAAUCCUGACACGCAGUAAUGAACAUGCAUAUACAGUUAAUGUCAAAAAAUUAAAAUCCUAAUAUGUUAAAAGAGAAAAUCCUAAACGUUAAGUGUCCCGUAGGAGUUUGUUUCGACUGGUCAAAAAUCAUAUGCUUACAGUCUAAUUGGAUUCUUUUUUAUUGGUCUUUUUACGAUCAUAUUCCUUGUUGGUUGUUCCACUGAUUCUUUUUGUGGGCUCCUUUUGUGGCGCCUACGAUGAGUCACCAACGUCCAACCUUCAUCAUCAUCAGGUUNNNNNNNNNNNNNNNNNNNNNNNNNNNNNNNNNNNNNNNNNNNNNNNNNNNNNNNNNNNNUAGUUGACUUCAGCUUUGUUGCUCUCCAGUAAUUCUUUACCUUUGCUUUCUUUAAAACCACAUAAUUCAUUCGGACUGAAUGAGCCAAAGGUGAUGGAGACUUGGUUAGCACCUGCUUUCUCAUCUUCAAGCACGAUCUUCUUUUCACGAGCCAAGUCCAUGACUUUAUCCUUGAAGAAAAAGCACUUCUCCAGAUGGUGGCUUAUAAGUCGAUGAUAUUUGCAGUAAUUUGGGUCAGUUGUUUUCCCAGCUUCAUUUGUUCGCUUCAUUUUCGGAAGCUCAAUAAGAUUUAACUCCAGGAGAUCUUCGAAAAUGGCUGGCACAUCAGAAUCUAGGAAUGGGUACUGUUUCUCCUGCAUUUUUUUUGGAGUCAACUUUCCACUUGGCUUGUCUUGAAAAGAAGUAGAUUUCAUACUCUGCUUCUUGCUCACCUUCAUCAUGAACUUCAUAGGUGAUGUGUUGACAUUCAUAGCUUCUUUGCUUUCAGACUUGGGUACGAACUUGCCCCACUUCCUAACUUCUUGCUUGCCAUUCGCUUUGCGAGGUUCAAAGAUGGGCAACCUUUCAUUUCCGGCGGAGGCCAUACUCAAUUACAUGUCAUGGGCACGAGUUGCAAGUUCUUCAAAUGUGCUAGGCUUGAUACCUUGCAAGAUGUAGCGCAAUCCCCAAUGCAUGCCUUGGAUGCACAUCUCUUUGCAAGUUCUUCAAAUGUGCUAGGCUUGAUACCUUGCAAGAUGUAGCGCAAUCCCCAAUGCAUGUCUUGGAUGCACAUCUCUAUGCCCGAAGCUUCACUAAGCAUGUCCUUGCAGUUGAGGCUUGCAUUCCUCCAACGAUUGAUAAAGUCGACCGGUUCCCCCUUUCUUUGAUGAGUAUUUGUGAGCUCUAUCAUACUCACAGUGUGUCUCGUGCUAUAAAAGCGAUUGAGGAACUCUUGCUCUAGUUGAUCCCAACUAUCGAUUGAUCCAUCCUCGAGGUCGGUGUACCAAUCAAAAGCGUUUCCUUUUAAUGAGCGGACAAAUUGUUUGAUGAGGUAGUCUCCAUAAGUCCCAGCAUUGUUGCAUGUCUCAACAAAGUGCGCUACAUGUUGCUUUGGGUUACCUUUAUCAUCAAACUGUUGAAACUUUGGAGGUUGACAGCCAGCAGGCAUCUUCAACAUAUCGACCCUCGCAGUGUACGGCUUUGCAUAUGUAAGGAAGACUUAGCAGCAACUUCAUAUUUGUUCUAGAUGGUUCCUUCAAUGAACUCCUUCAAUUGAUCAAUUGGAAUCAUCCCUUCAGAUGAGAUAGGGAUAUCCUUAGUGGAUGCUGCUUGUCUCGGCGGAGAGUCGCUCUCUAGAACUUUUGGGAGCUUGCCGGGUGCUAGGGUAGAUUCUUCCUCCAUCAAGAUUCCCACCUUGUCUGUUAGCUUGUCAAUUCUAGCCUCUUUAUUUUGCAUGCAUUUAGUCAAGCCAGCGAUUGCUUCCGUCAAAUUUGCCAACUGCUCCUCCAUGGAUGAAGUGUUUCUCACCAUGGCUUGCAUGAUUGCCGUGGAUGAUGAAGAGUAGCAUGGAUUUUCACACAGAUUGAUCCUUGAUUGGAUCGCGUUAUAUGGUGUAAGUGGGGAGGAUCCAUCACUUGAAGCAUCAUCAUCUUCCUUCACAGCAGAGUGCUUGGAGCUGGAGAGAUCAAGCAGAGCUAGUGUUUUCCUGAUCUUUUCAGCAACAUCGCUUCCUCAUUCAGAUGCGCUUGUGGCAGAUCUUGCUCCUUUUGAGGAUGAACAUCUGAAAACAAGGGUUAAUGCGGACGACGCUUGGGGUGCAUGUUGUCCUAAAUAGCUUGCUUUGCUCCUCGUAAUUGGGCCGAAGGUUACAAAAGUGAUAUAGAGGAUGCUUUCCACAUCAACGUAGAACCUGGAAUUAGCAGCCUUGGUGGAAGUUGAACCGGAGUUGAUUUUCUUUGGAGCCAUUUCAAUGUUCUUGAACUUUGGUAAUUGAAAAGUUGAGAUGAGGGGUAGAGAUUCCCACUGGGCGUGUCAGAAUUACUAGACAAUAAAUUUUUGUCAAGAAAAUAAAAUUAAGACCAAAAAAUAUUGUAACAAUCGUAGUAUUUUUAUUUCGAAUAUUUGAGUAUGCUUGUUGACAAUAAAUUUGUGACGAGAAAAUAAAAUCAAGACCGAGAAAUAUCGCAACAAUCGUAGUAUUUUAUUUCGAAUAUUUGAGUGUACAAUCUCUAUUAAUCCUCUUAUUCUUCUUUCCAAUGGUAAAUAAAUGCAAGGGCCUUGGAGUUUGAUCUUGGAUCUAUAUUUGUUGCCAUAAUCCUCUUAUUCUUCUUUCCAAUGGUAAAUAAAUGCAAGGGCCUUGGAGUUUGAUCUUGAAUCUAUAUUUGUUGCCAGGAACGAUGAUCUUGUUCUUGAGCUCGAAAUUGCUUGUUCUUCGUUCUUGAGCUUGAACUUGAUUGCUUGAACGUGAACUUGAUUGCUUGAACGUGAACUUGAUUGCUUGAAGCUUGAAAUUGUGGAGAAAUUUGCAGCGUUAGAUCCACGAGCUCUUUCUUGCUUCUUGUUAUAACUUCUGGUGUCUUUUCUGAGUUAUGAAUGCCCCUAUUUAUAGUUGUGGAAGGGAAGAGUCAUGAUAAGAACAAACUCCUUCCGACCAAUCAAAUUCGACUAUGUUCUUGAUCUUGAAUACUUGUAUUGUUCUUCGUUCUUGAGCUUAAACUUGAUUUCUUGAACUUGAACUUGAUUACUUGAAGCUUGAAACUUGUAAAGACAUUUACGGUGUUUGAUCCACGAGAUCUCUCUUGCUUCUUGUUAUAACUUCUGGUGUCUUUUUUGAGUUAUGAAGACCCCUAUUUAUAGUUGUGGGAAGGAAGAAUUAUGAUAAGAACAAAUUCUUUCCGGCCAAUCAAAUUGAAGUGUGACAUGGUCACAUUUUAUUGGCCAGAACAUGUCACUUGCACACGUGACGCGAUUUCAUUGGCCUUUUAGUGUGACUUGGCAUGCCUUGUCAUUUUGACACGUGGCAUGAUCCUAAUAGCUCUUCCGUUUGCCUUGGCGUGCCACGUCAUUUGACACGUGGCACCAAACUGGGCCUCUAGGAAGAUGACAUCUUGGUCUUAGUGAAGUGGGCUCAUCACUUUAGAUUGGACUAGCCCAAUGGAUUAAGACUUAUUUAUUUCGUUUAUAUAUAUUGGACUUAUAUUAUUAAUUUAAUUAUAUUAUAUUAGUCCGUAGUAUUUAUUUGAACUAAUAUAUCUCGGAUGUAAAAUAUAGUCCAAAUUAUUUUAUAGAUUUAAUUUUAAAUAAAAUUUAUAUUCUUACAAUGUUGAAUGAAUACUUGAUUAUUUUUUUCUGUCUAUAUUCUUGCUUUCCAUUUUUGUGGCAAUUCUAACCUGAGAAUCGCUACACUAUCUAAUGCAGACGGUAAAGAUAAUUUCCUUUCACAUACUCUUAUCAAGCAUGGGACAACUGACCAUCUUUAUAAAGUUACUCCCUCCGAUCAAUUUAAAGUGUUUUUUUUUUGCGCUUUUUAUACAUAUUAUUUUUAAUAUUAAUUAAUAAUAAAAUUAAAUAUAUUAACUUUAAUCUGCUUAUUAGAAAUAUAAUAAACUAUUUCUGGACUCUUUAUUCAAGUGCGACUUUUGAAAAAAAAAGUUAAUUUCUUCUUAAUAUUCGAAAGAAUUAUUAUUAUAAAUCACAACAAAGAAAAAACUAAAAAUUCACUUAAAAUAGAACAAAGGGAGUAUUAAUGCGGCUUCUCUUACUUUAUUCGUCAUGCUAGAUUACAGGGAAGAGUUGUUUAAUUUGUUUCAUAAAUAUGGGUAUUUGGAGCCUGUCACAUUUUUGUUCGAAAUACCAAUUAGGAAAGAAACAAAAUUUGUUACUUUAGACCUUCAUCGCCUUUUACACUUCCCGUUUUUUAAGACUAGUAUCUCGCACGUUGUACGGAGAUUAUUAAAUAUAAUUUUAUCAUAAAAAAUAUUAGUGGAAAAAUAUGGUAAAGACAAAGAAGUGUGAAAGAAUUUCAAUUUUGUUAUAUUUAAUGGCUAGUUCGUUAUAUAUGUUGGAAUGUUUUUGCUCUUUAUAAUAUUUAUGUAUAAAAUUGAUACUCAUUGUAUGUUUCAAACAAAGAUUCAAGAAUUUAUCAAGUUCGCAGCGUGAUUUUACUUUAAACUCAAUUAGAGGAUAGAUCUCUUUAGAUGCCGAUCUAAGUAAAUCAAUAUUAUCCUAGCGAUCUCCCCAUCAAUUUUUCAAUAUCCAUCUUCAAACACCUUAUAUGAUAGAAAAGGCGCAUAAACAAAAUAGGCAAGUAGAUAGUAUAACAGAAUAUAUACAUCACAUGCUAUCUUGAAAGCAUAAGUUGAAACAAAAUUUUUAAUUUCACAAUAGAUUCCUUCAAUUAGUUAGCAGUGUAGGAACUUAUAGGCACAUUAUUGCUAUGUUAUUUUUUAAGUCAGUUCCUCAUCAGGAGCAUCUCGAGAAAAUACUUGCUAGUAAUUUUUGGUGUAUUUGACAAUAAUGGAUCAUAAAUGUUUUGAUAGUAUCUCAACUCCAAAUAAAACCUGAAAGUUAGGUGUCUUAUGAAUCUAUUUAGGUGGUGUAAACUCUCGUAUAAGUAGCAUUAUCUAUUUUACAGACAUUAUAAGCUCCAUAGUCCUACACUAAAUCUCAUGUAUUUGAGCUAACGGAAUGAGUCGCUUAAUCCUACAUAUUCUUGGUCCCCUCAAUGAAUCUAUUUACUCUAUCAAAAAGCAUAAAGUAAUCUCUUAAUUCAAGAAAUAACUCAGGGGAAUACUUCAAUCUCAUGUAUGUGAAACAUUGAUGAUAACUCCAUUGAUCUCUUGGCAACCAAUAAAUAAGGAAAACAGAAAAAUAUGGGAUAAAUAUUUUACUGAAAAUUGAUCAAAUUAUAAAAAAUAGACAAUUUUAGUGCCUAACCGGUAGAGAUGACCAUCUGCUUGGUUUGGGAGACAUCCAACAGAAGCCAACUUCAUAUAUCUUGCAAUCAUCCUCUAUGAUGUUAACUGUGGGAUAGAUAAACUAAUUUUGCAUCACAUAAGGGUUAGAUUGUUUAAAAAUAGGGGAAGGAAUAGAAUUUGAUUUCCAUUCUGGAAAAAGAUAAUGGUAGUUCAGUCAAGUGUGCAAUUCUAUUUUACAUAAUUUUAUUGAUAAAAGACAACU
rnacentral:lncRNA from 1 species